GACAGUUGACAUUUUUAAUUAGAUGCGCAUUGUUCUAAUUCAAGUUCAUUAUUUUAAAUUGCUUUUGUUGUAUUUUUUGGGUGUGUUUUUAUUGUUAAAAUGACUUACACCAGUGCGGAGGCUGCAUAUGACUUACUCACUGUAUAUUUUCACUCUUUUGAAAAUGCUCCUAUUGCAGCAUGUGAAUAUACUAAACGGAGGCAUUAUAGCAGAAAAGUAUUGCGACUUGCAAUACAUUUAAGGAAAAGAAGAAGUGUACAUCCCCUUCAUGUUCCAAUUAGAAGGCGUUCGCGAGAGGAAUCGCUCAGCAAAGAUCUAAGAAUCAUCAAACAUCUAAGAAUUAUUCAUCCUUCAGUGUUUCGAAUUUUAUCCUUACAACAAGCUGUAUCAGAAAAUGAAUUUGACAAACCACUCGACCAUGGUUAUUGGCUUAGAGAAAUGUGCAGCGAAAAACUCCAGUUCCUUUUUCAAAUUUGAUGGACUGAUAAAGCUAGUUUUUCUAGUU